AGAAAUCUGUGUUUGAAAUACACCUAUAUGAUAAGUUCAAAUGGUAACACAAGAACCUGCAGCAUGGGUUGCCUCAGGUGCAACAGAGUGCUCUCCCUGUCACCAAAAAACAGCUUUAUUGGUUGAACAUCCAGAAUAAUUGUCCUGUAUAUAUAUUCAGGUAUGUUUCAUGUUAGCCUUCAAACUUCAUUGAAUAUAAAUUUUGAGCACUAUUUAUUCAACCAAUUUGGUGUUGAAUAGUGACUGACCGAUAAUUGUAAUCUGGCCCAUUCUUGCCUUAUCAGGUGAGUUCAUAUGAAUUAUGUACAAAUUGGGACGAAGAUGUUACUUUCAAGUAUUUAUCUUAAUGUUGUUUCUUUGUUAUGGGCAGACACAAGUGAUGAAUCAUGAAGUGUAUCAAAGUGGAGAACUCAGCAAAUUAUCCACUGGUGGUCAAAGAGACAUUCUAAAAUGAAGACCAAUUAAUGUCAGCAAGUAUCAGGAUGUUUGGAAAAGAAUGUAUUAUACCAAUGGAAAUAUUCAAUUGCUCAACUGGCUAAUGAAGAUGUUACAAAACUGACAAUGUGCAAUUUCAAAAUUAUUUUGUGGUCAGUGAUGCAAAUACAGUAUAUGGAUCUUGAACAGGUAAAUAGAGUAACCAAUCACAUACACCCUGUUUCAUGUCUUGGAUCAACCUAAUAGUAUUUAACCUAUUCCCCCUGACAACUAAAAUAAUUUGGCAUUAGACAGUGAGAGUAAAAUAAUGUGUGGUGCAUCUACUGUAGGUUCAUAAUCGGCUGACAAUCUGUUUAUAAUCUUUAAGAACUGUCUAGGCUGGGCUGUUCUUGAAAAAAACAGAAACCGAAAACCGUCAAGAAAAAAUCGGAAAAACCGGUUUUUAAUCUAUAAAUGACACACAGCCAUAAAAUGGUGUAGCAUGUGUAUUUAUUAUGUGAAUAAUUUCGGUUUUAGAUGCUUGUAAUAUCAAAAGCUUUAUAGGGCCAAAAAAAAAAUAUGUGGGUUUCCGGUUUCUUCUUAUAAAAACUUAGGUAGGGUAGGUCGGUUUUAACUUUUUUUUUAACUUUUUUUUUAUUUUUCCGAAUAAGCGGAUGCCACUUCCACAUCCAAAGAUAAAUUUCCCUAAUAUUGCCUCAAAUUUCAAUUUUCCACAAACUUUUUCCUCUAAGUGGAAACAUUUACAAGCAUAAUACACUAAAAAAGUUUAGGGUCGGGAUUUCGACGUCCAAAAGCUAGGUAGGGUCGGGAAACCGGAAACCCACAUAUUUUUUUUUGGCCUAGGUAAAAGGUAUAAAAAUACAAGUAAGAAGACAGUGUUAAAAGAAUGUAUUUUUAUCUCCUUUUGUCCUGGUUCUUUCCGGUUUUUCGACACUUGGACUUCGGCAAAACCGGAAAAAAGUUUUUCAAUGCCCCAGGGCUGGUUGUUGAAAAGCCGGUUAUCCUAACCCUGGGUUAACACAAAUCUACAAAUUAAGUUUUCCAACAGUUCAUCAAUCAAGUUCAAUAUGUUUUUCCAGAAAUCUUUUCUGGUUCAAUAGAGGUUUUAUUUCAUAAAGUUUUGAAACGAAUGAUCAUGCAGAAAUACAUAAACAAAAACAGCAGGUUAAAAUUUAACCCAGGGUUAGCACUAAUUGGGCUUUGAACAACCGGCCCCCAGCCUAGAAUUGUCUGUGUCAGUGUAGAUAGUGCCAAUAUAACAAUUGAACAAGCUUUCGUUGAACAAGCUUAGGAGAAUUUUGAUGUUUCAGUGUUUGGAGUUACUUGCCUAGUAGCACUUGAAACGUUGAGAAUCUUUAGUUAUUAUAUUUUCAGCUAGUGUAUCCCCACCAACGAAAGCUUGUUCAUGAUAGUUGGGUUUCCUAGCAUUAAUGCAUUACACUCUUCCACGAGUAAAUACAAGAAAAAAACACAAUAAAGAUAAGUGAGUAAAUAAAAAAAAAGUCAAAUAUAUUUUUCGAAAGUGUUAUUUCUCAUGAAGAAAAAAGUUGCCUGUGUAGGAAGGAAUGUGACUGGAUGCCCAUAUGCCCUAGCUAUAUACUGAAGUCUGAGGUUGUCUAGGAUCCAGUAUUCCUGGGGCCAUGUGUUCAAAUGUGCCAGGUGGGUUAGCGCUAACCCUGGGUUAAAAUGUAACCUACUGUAAAUUUUAGUUUGUGUAUUUCUGCACAUCUGUUCAUUUCAAAACUUCAGAAAAGUAUAGACUCCUAUCAAUCCAGACAAGAUCUCUGAAGAAAUAUUUCCAAAUUUAUAGACAAGCUGUCAGGAAGUUUGCUUUGAAUUUUAGGUUAACCUAGGGUAGCUCUAGGUUAACCUAAAAUUCAAAGCAAACUUCCCAACAGCUUGUUUAAAAAUUUGGAAAUAUUUCUUCAGAGAUCUUGUCUGGAUUAGCAGGAGUUUUUCUCUGAAGUUUUGAAAUAAACAUUGGUCUGCAGAGAUGCACAUUAUCAAACUAAAACGGCAGGUUAUAUUUGAACCGAGAACUACAGUAGCACUAACCUACCUUUAAACAACCAGCCGUAGAAGUGUUGGAAUAGCCAACAUAAUUUCUAAUCAUCAUAAUUUUUAACUACAGACAAUAAAUUGGUAUCGUGAAGUGGACAGGAUCAUUCUGGGUGCAAACAAACCAAAUUAAAUUGUUCUGGUGCAAACAAACCAAAUUAAAUAGUUCUGGUGCAGACAAACAAAAUUAAAGGGAAUUUAUGACUACAAGGUACCAAACUUUUUUUAGUUUAAAUCAAAAGUAACUUAGGCUGAGGCACCUUGGGAAAAUAACUAAAAACAAAAAUGUGUUUUGUG
rnacentral:lncRNA from 1 species